rnacentral:rRNA from 1 species
CGGGAGGCAGCCUAGGGUUCUUCCACAAUGGACGAAAGUCUGGUGGAGCAAUGCCGCGUGAGUGAAGAAGGGUUUCGGUGUUGUUAAAGCUCGUAAAACUCAAGAACACCUUUGAGAGUAACUGACGGUAUUUUUCAAGGGUUGAACCAGAAAGCCACGGCUAACUACGUGCCAGCAGCCGC